ACGCAGGUUAAGUUACAGUAUAGCUGUGAAGUGCUGUUCUGUCGUUCCCCCUGCAAAUAAUAAAUUGCUUCCUACUAUCCCUGUCUGUUCUGAAACAAAUACAGCCGACAGGGACGCUUGGUCUCAAACAA